rnacentral:rRNA from 1 species
AUAGCGUAUAUUAAAGUUGUUGCAGUUAAAAAGCUCGUAGUUGAACUUCGAACGUGGCUGGGCGGUCCGCCUCACGGUGUGUACUGUCUGGCCGUGUUCUCUUUCUUGGUGAGCCGGCAUGCCCUUUACUGGGUGUGUUGGGGAACCAGGACGUUUACCUUGAGAAAAUUAGAGUGUUCAAAGCAGGCCUACGCCCGGAUACAUUAGCAUGGCAUAAUAAAAUAGGACGUGCGGUUCUAUUUUGUUGGUUUCUAGAGUCGCCGUAAUGAUUAAUAGGGAUAGUUGGGGGCAUUGGUAUUGAGUCGCUAGAGGUGAAAUUCUUGGAUUGACUCAAGACCAACUAUUG